GGCAAGAUGGCGGAGUGUGAACACGGGUCUGCUAUGCCCGUCCUUCGGGAGCGAGGGUUCACAUCCCGUUCUUGUCG